GUCUAUGGCCAUGCCACCCUGAACAAGCCCCAUCCCAUCUGAUCUCGGAAGCUAAGCAGGGUCGGGCCUGGUUAAUACUUGGAUGGGAGACCACUUAGGAACACUAGGUGGUGUAGGUG
rnacentral:rRNA from 1 species